rnacentral:rRNA from 1 species
GACGAACGCUGGCGGCGUGCCUAAUACAUGCAAGUUGAGCGAUGAAGAUUGGUGCUUGCACCAAUUUGAAGAGCAGCGAACGGGUGAGUAACGCGUGGGGAAACUGCCUUUGAGCGGGGGACAACAUUUGGAAACGAAUGCUAAUACCGCAUAACAACUUUAAACAUAAGUUUUAAGUUUGAAAGAUGCAAUUGCAUCACUCAAAGAUGAUCCCGCGUUGUAUUAGCUAGUUGGUGAGGUAAAGGCUCACCAAGGCGAUGAUACAUAGCCGACCUGAGAGGGUGAUCGGCCACAUUGGGACUGAGACACGGCCCAAACUCCUACGGGAGGCAGCAGUAGGGAAUCUUCGGCAAUGGACGAAAGUCUGACCGAGCAACGCCGCGUGAGUGAAGAAGGGUUUCGGAUCGUAAAACUCUGUUGGUAGAGAAGAACGUUGGUGAGAGUGGAAAGCUCAUCAAGUGACGGUAACUACCCAGAAAGGGACGGCUAACUACGUG